CAGGUAGGUGGUCUCAUUUGUCUGAUGUGAAAGCCUUGGGCUUAACCCAAGAAGUGCGUCAGAAACGGUGAGACUCGAGUUCUGGAGAGGGUCGUGGAAUUCCCGGUGUAGCGGUGAAAUGCGUAGAGAUCGGGAGGAACACCAGAGGCGAAGGCGGCGACCUGGACAGAUACUGACACUCAACUGCGAAAGCGUGGGAGCAAACA
rnacentral:rRNA from 1 species